UCAAAAAAGAAGAAGGUUCCAGUUAAGGCGAUGCAUUACUUACCCCUUAUACCUAAGUUAAAGAGGUUGUAUGCAUCAAUGAGCUCUGGUCCUCAUAUGAUAUGGCACUAUGAAAAUAGAAGGCCACCUGGUAUUCUGUGUCAUCCGUCAGAUGGAGAAGCAUGAAAGCAUUUUGAUAGGGUGUUUCCGAAUUUUGCUAGUGAAUCAAGAAACAUUAGGUUGGGUUUAUGUGCAGACGGAUUCACUCCUUUUUCUGUCUCUGCUGCACUAUAUUCAUGUUGGCCAGUAUUUGUUACGCCGUAUAAUCUUCCUCGUGAGCUGUGUAUGACAAGUCCAUAUUUGUUCCUAACUUGCAUUGUUCCAGGUCCGCGCAAUCCGAAAAGUUUGAUUGAUGUAUACAUGCAACCUUUAAUUGAUGAGUUAAAGUUAUUGUGGCAUGAAGGUGUGGAAACAUAUGAUAUAUCAACCAAACAAAAAUUGCGUGCUGCUUUGAUGUGGACUAUAAAUGAUUUUUCUGCUUAUGGAAUGUUGUCUGGGUGGUCGACUGCAGGAAAGUUAGCUUGCCCAACUUGUAUGGAAGACACAAAAGCAUUCACGUUGAAACAUGGAGGAAAGAAUACAUGGUUUGAUUGCCACCGUCGAUUCUUGCCUAUGGAUCACGAGUUUAGGAGAAAUACUAGUGCAUUUAUGAAGAACCAAACUGAUUUUGAAGAGCCACCGUCACCAUUGUCGCCAGAAGAAAUUUGGAACAGAGUUAGGUUUCUACCAAAGGUAAUAGAGUCUCCAAUGUCUAAUAAGAUACCUGGUUAUGGUGUUACGCAUAAUUGGACUAAACAAAACAUAUUUUGGGAGUUACCUUAUUGGAAGCAUAAUCUUCUUCGACAUAAUUUGGAUGUCAUGCAUAUCGAGAAAAAACUUUUUUGACAACUUGUUUAAUACAAUAAUGGAUGUCAAUAACAAGACAAAAGAUAACUUGAAGGCUAGGAUGGACUUAAAGGAAUAUUGUAGGCGAAGUGAGUUGUACCUAACAUACUUGAACAACAAGAUUCACAAGCCCAAGGCCAGUUACACAUUCACUUUGGAUGAGAGAAGAGAGAUUUGUGAUUGGGUUAAGAAUUUGAGGAUGCCUGAUGGAUAUGCGUCAAACUUAUCCAGGUGUGUUCACAUGAAAGAAGGGAAGUUGACGUCUAUGAAGAGCCACGAUUGUCACAUUUUCCUCGAAUCUUUGAUGCCUAUUGCAUUCAAAGCCUUGCCUGAUAGAAUAUGGAAAUCCAUUAUUGAGAUAGGUUUAUUUUUCAAGGAGUUGUGUUCUAGCACAUUGAAGGUGGAGAACUUAGCUUACAUGGAGAGUAAUAUUUGCUUAACUUUAACAAGCUGGCGAAAAUUUUUCCUCUUGGGUUUUUUGAUGUAAUGGAACAUCUUCCAAUUCAUCUUGCACAAGAGGCACGACUUGGAGGGCCUGUACAAUGUAGAUGGAUGUAUCCUUACGAGAGGUAAUGACUUUAAAUUAUUUUUCCUCGACUUGUUUUAAUUAAACUUUAUUUCAUCUAAAAAUUGUGCUAUGUAGGACUAUUGGAAAAUGUAAGCGGGCUGUAAAAAAUCGAUACAGGAUUGAGGGAUCAAUAUGCAAGGCACAUCUGGCUAAAGAAACUUCUUCUUUCUGUUCAUAUUAUUUUGAACAUGAUGUGUCAUGUUUGAGAAAUAGGCCAAAUCGGCAUGAUGAUGGAGGUGUUAAUAAUCCUUUGGCACCACCAUUUUUCAUAUUCAAUCAACCAGGUAGAGGUUCAAAAACUAGUAAAAACCGAAAUUUGACUGAGAUGGAGAAAAAGUCCGCUACAACACAUGUAUUAUUGAAUUGUCCAGAGGUCCAACCUUAUUAUAAGUAAGUCUUAAUUUGUACUAAAGGCGAUUAUUACAAGAUCAAAGUUAUUUUAACUAAUGAAAGGUAUAAUUUUGUGGGCAGUUACUUAGGUGUAAAUGGGCAUGAUGCUAUUUAUCCAAGAUUUUCAGAGUGGUUUAAGGAGUUUGUAAGUUCUAUUUUGUGGUUACAAAUUAAGUACAUGUAUAUUUAAAAUUCUAACUUUUCUUUAACUUUAUAUAUGUUCAUAAUCCAGUGAAUGGAAUUAAUGACCCAUUUUUGCGCGAUAUAGCUUGGGGAUCUGACCAUAAAGUCAGAAUGAUGUCUAAGUACUUUGUCAAUGGGUACAAGUUUCAUACAGAAGAAUGGUCUAAGAAUAAGAAAACCAAAAUAGUGGGGUGUGGGUAAAGGGUGAUGGAGAUGUUGAUUAUUAUGGUGUGCUCCAAGAGAUUUUAGAACUAGAGUAUUUCGGUUGGCCGAAAAAAAUAUUGGUACUCUUUCGGUGUAAGUGGUAAGAUCCAACACCUACUAGAGGGUUUUUAAUAUACUUAUGUUACACAGAUGGCGCCGGGUAAAAAAAAGAAGAUAAGACACGAUUCCCAGCUUCCUCAGUACACUUCAGGUCCCACUACCUCGUCUGUGCCAUUUAUGGGUCCUCCUCAUCCUCCUCCGCCUCCUCCUCCUCCUCCUCCUCAGCAAACUCCUCCUCCUCCUCCUCCUCCUCCUCAGCAAACUUCACUGCCACCUGGCUUUUUCAUUUUGCCCCCUUGUGAUCCAGUUCGAUAUAAGCCUAUCUCUAAUUCCCAGAGCAUGCACACUAUACCAUCUUCUUCGCCAACUUAGCGUACUAGUCAGCAUGGUGGCUCCUCAUCUAUGCCUCCGUCAUCAUUCACUCCAUACCCAAGCUACCAUGUUAGUCAGAAUGGUGGUUCCACAUCUAUGGCUCCAUCUUCAUCUCCAUCAUCAUCCACUCCUAGUAUUUCUAGGCCGCAUGUUGGAGACUCUACCAUACCGUCAUCCCCAUCCAUUGAUACAUCUACACCUGCUCCUGAUGAUACACAGACUCAGACUUUUGAAGAGAUUGUAUCAUAUGAUUCCCUUACACAGACUGAUUAUCAUUCCUGAUGGGACUACUGGGUUUGUUCCCUCUAAUGAAUCUACGAAGGUUGUUGUGGAUUGUGUUAAAGGAUUUUAUCGAGAUGCUUGGAGUAAAUGGUCAGAUAUACCGUAUAUUUACAGAGAUCAUAUGUGGAAUCAAUUUAGGACAAGGUGUGCAUGGAUUCCCAAAUAUCAUCAGCAAAUAAGUCAUAAUUUCGAAAAAGAAGCUGCUGAUCGGCUUAAAAAUCUCCUUUAUAAAGCUCGAUAGAAGGGCGAGAUGCUCGGUUGGAUACUAAAAGACAUAUGGGAUAGACUUAAUGUGAUAUGGGCUUCUGAAGAAUUUAAGAAGAGAAGCAUUGCUGCAAAGGCUGCCCGAGCCUCCAAUACGGGUGACUCAUUGCACACUGGGGGUUCAAUUAGUAUGGAGACCCAUCGAAGGAGAAUGGAAAAGAAAAAAAGAGAGACUUGUGACUUAUGUUGAGGUCUUUGAGGACAAACAUUUGAAAAAGAAAAAGGAUGGGACAAGAGAAUGGGUCGAGCCGCGUGCUGCGAGGGAAGCCUAUCAACAACGUUUUGAGGAGUGGCGUCAAAGUCAAACCGAUUCCGGGGAUGGUAGCUCAACCCAAGUGUCACUCAAUGAUGUAGCUUCAAUAUGGACGCAGGUGGUUGGUGGCACAAAGAAAGGUAGAACCUACGGUCUUGGAUCACAAUAUUCUGUAGGUCGUUCUACGACAUUGUUGUCUGGUGGUGCGAGUUAUUCGCAAGAUCACGAAGAGGUGGAAGCAUUACGAAAAGAAGUUGAAGAGUUGAAGGAGGAACAGAAAGAAGAUCGCGCAAAUUUUAACAAAUUGCAGAGUCUAGUGGAGAAAUUUAUGAGCGGACGUCCAUUUGGUCCUUUUAAUGGCGAGUAUGGCGGGGAUAAUGAGUUUUAGUUUGUUAUGGUUAUGAUGUUUGAGACAUUAUUAUUUGUUGUAGUUGGAUGUUUAGACUUGGUAAUAUUUACACUUGACUAUGAUUGUAAUAUUUUAGACUAGAUUGAAUGGUGCCAGAAUAAUUAACUCUUUUUGGAUGUUUUAGUUACAAAUAUUUAUGUUUUGCAUUUUA